rnacentral:rRNA from 1 species
UGGGAAUCUGCCCUUGGGUUCGGAAUAACUUCGGGAAACUGAAGCUAAUACCGGAUGAUGUCUUCGGACCAAAGAUUUAUCGCCUUUAGAUGGGCCCGCGUAAGAUUAGCUAGUUGUGGGGUAAAGGCCUACCAAGGCGACGANCUUUAGCUGGUCUGAGAGGAUGAUCAGCCACACUGGGACUGAGACACGGCCCAGACUCCUACGGGAGGCAGCAGUGGGGAAUAUUGGACAAUGGGCGAAAGCCUGAUCCAGCAAUGCCGCGUGAGUGAUGAAGGCCUUAGGGUUGUAAAGCUCUUUACCCGAGAUGAUAAUGACAGUAUCGGGAGAAUAAGCUCCGGCUAACUCCGUG